CUUAGGACGGAGACAACCCCGGGAAACUGGGGCUAAUACCCGGUAGAUUAGGAGGCCUGGAAUGGUUUCUAGUCGAAAAGGCGUUGAAACCAUGCUUUUCGACGUCGCCUAAGGAUGGGGCCGCACCUGAUCAGGUUGUUGGUGGGGUAACGGCUCACCAAGCCUAUAACCGGUACGGGCCGUGAGAGCGGGAGCCCGGAGAUGGGCACUGAGACAAGGGCCCAUGCCCUACGGGGCGCAGCAGUCGCGAAAACUCCGCAAUGCGCGAAAGCGUGACGGGGCUACCCCGAGUGCCGUCCGCUGAGGAUGGCUUUUCCCCGGUGUAAUGAGCCGAGGGAAUAAGGAGAGGGCAAGACUGGUGUCAGCCGCCGCGGUAAUACCAGCUCUCCGAGUGGUAGGGAUGAUUA
rnacentral:rRNA from 1 species